GAUGAACGCUGGCGGCGUGCCUAAUACAUGCAAGUCGAGCGAACGGACGAGAAGCUUGCUUCUCUGAUGUUAGCGGCGGACGGGUGAGUAACACGUGGAUAACCUACCUAUAAGACUGGGAUAACUUCGGGAAACCGGAGCUAAUACCGGAUAAUAUGUUGAACCGCAUGGUUCAAAAGUGAAAGACGGUCUUGCUGUCACUUAUAGAUGGAUCCGCGCUGCAUUAGCUAGUUGGUAAGGUAACGGCUUACCAAGGCAACGAUGCAUAGCCGACCUGAGAGGGUGAUCGGCCACGCUGGAACUGAUACACGCUCCAGACUCCUACGGUAGGCAGCAGUAGGGAUUCUUCCGCAAUGGGCGAAAGCCUGACGGAGCAGCGCCGCGUGAGUGAUGAAGGUCUUCCGAUCGUAAAGCUCUGUUAUUAGGGAAGAUCAUAUGUGUAAGUAACUGUGCACAUCUUGCCGGUACCUAAUCAGAAAGCCCCGGCUAACUACGUG
rnacentral:rRNA from 1 species